CUCGUAGGCGGUUUGUCGCGUCGGGAGUGAAAACGCAGGCCUUAAUUCUGCGCUUGCUUUCGAUACGGGCAGACUAGAGGUAUGCAGGGGAGAACGGAAUUCCUGGUGUAGCGGUGAAAUGCGCAGAUAUCAGGAGGAACACCGGUGGCGAAGGCGGUUCUCUGGGCAUGUCCUGACGCUGAGGAGCGAAAGUGUGGGGAGCGAACA
rnacentral:rRNA from 1 species